GACGAACGCUGGCGGCGUGCCUAAUACAUGCAAGUAGAACGCACAGUUUAUACCGUAGCUUGCUACACCAUAGACUGUGAGUUGCGAACGGGUGAGUAACGCGUAGGUAACCUGCCUGGCAGCGGGGGAUAACUAUUGGAAACGAUAGCUAAUACCGCAUAAUAUUGAUUAUUGCAUGAUAAUUGAUUGAAAGAUGCUAUUGCAUCACUACCAGAUGGACCUGCGUUGUAUUAGCUAGUAGGUGAGGUAACGGCUCACCUAGGCGACGAUACAUAGCCGACCUGAGAGGGUGAUCGGCCACACUGGGACUGAGACACGGCCCAGACUCCUACGGGAGGCAGCAGUAGGGAAUCUUCGGCAAUGGACGAAAGUCUGACCGAGCAACGCCGCGUGAGUGAAGAAGGUUUUCGGAUCGUAAAGCUCUGUUGUAAGAGAAGAACGGGUGUGAGAGUGGAAAGUUCACACUGUGACGGUAUCUUACCAGAAAGGGACGGCUAACUACGUG
rnacentral:rRNA from 1 species